UACCCGCUGAACUUAAGCAUAUCAAUAAGCGGAGGAAAAGAAACCAACAGGGAUUGCCUCAGUAACGGCGAGUGAAGCGGCAACAGCUCAAAUUUGAAAUCUGGCUCUUUCAGGGUCCGAGUUGUAAUUUGUAGAGGAUGCUUCGGGUACGGCUCCGGUCUAAGUUCCUUGGAACAGGACGUCGCAGAGGGUGAGAAUCCCGUACGUGACCGGCCUCCACGCCCGUGUGAAGCUCCUUCGACGAGUCGAGUUGUUUGGGAAUGCAGCUCAAAAUGGGUGGUAAAUUUCAUCUAAAGCUAAAUAUUGGCCAGAGACCGAUAGCGCACAAGUAGAGUGAUCGAAAGAUGAAAAGCACUUUGGAAAGAGAGUCAAACAGUACGUGAAAUUGUUGAAAGGGAAGCGCUUGCAACCAGACUUGCCCGCGGGUGAUCAGCCGGUAUUUUUACCGGUGCACUCGCCCGUGGUCAGGCCAGCAUCGGUUUGGGCGGCUGGAUAAAGUCCCCCGGAAUGUAGCUCCUUUCGGGGAGUGUUAUAGCCGGAGGUGCAAUGCAGCCCGCCCGGACCGAGGACCGCGCUUCGGCUCGGAUGCUGGCGUAAUGGUUGUAAGCGACCCGUCUUGAAACACGGACCA
rnacentral:rRNA from 1 species